UGAACCCGGUACCUCUGCAGUGUGAAGUCGACGUGCUAACUACUGGACUACCCAGCUGUUUAACCUGACUGAACAAAACUGUAUGUCUGUUCUUAAAAAAAAAAACACACGGACCAGAAUCACCUAUUUGAUUGUGUGUGUGCAAUGAAGACAGGCAAGACGCAUCCCUACUGUGAGAUAGCCUUGGAUUUUUAGCGAGAGAAUUAAGGUACACCCUGGACUAGUCGCCAGCCAAUCACAAUUACACAUUCAACAUAGACAAAAAGAACAUUAAAAUCUCCCAAUUCUUCAAGCAAUUAAAAAAAAAGUAAGUAUGAUAUGCUCGACAAACAAAAUGCGAUGACUGCGAUCUGUAAUUAAGCAGCACUGUUUAAUGUGAACAGUGUAAGCUAUAUACAGAGAUGAGGGGAAAA